UUUUGCAUAUCCAAAGCGGAGGAAAAGAAACCAACAGGGAUUGCCUUAGUAACGGCGAGUGAAGCGGCAACAGCUCAAAUUUGAAAGCUGGCUCCUUCGGAGUCCGCAUUGUAAUUUGUAGAGGAUGAUUCGGCGAGGGCUCCCGCCUAAGUCCACUGGAACGUGGCGUCAUAGAGGGUGAGAAUCCCGUAUGCGGUGGGUUGCCUUAGCCAUGUGAAUCUCCUUCGACGAGUCGAGUUGUUUGGGAAUGCAGCUCUAAAUGGGAGGUAAAUUUCUUCUAAAGCUAAAUACCGGCCAGAGACCGAUAGCGCACAAGUAGAGUGAUCGAAAGAUGAAAAGCACUUUGGAAAGAGAGUUAAAAAGUACGUGAAAUUGUUGAAAGGGAAGGGCUUGCAACCAGACUUGUCCGCAGUUGCUCAGCCGGUCUCCUGACCGGCGUACUCUUCUGCGGCCAGGCCAGCAUCAGUUCGGGCGGUCGGAUAAAGACCUAGGGAAUGUAGCUCCUCUCGGGGAGUGUUAUAGCCCUGGGUGGAAUGCGGCCAGCCUGGACUGAGGAUCUCGCUUCGGCAAGGAUGCUGGCGUAAUGGUUGUAAGCCGCCCGUCUUGAAAAACGGACCAA
rnacentral:rRNA from 1 species